GACGAACGCUGGCGGCGUGCCUAAUACAUGCAAGUAGAACGCUGAAGAGAAGAGCUUGCUCUUCUUGGAUGAGUUGCGAACGGGUGAGUAACGCGUAGGUAACCUGCCUUGUAGCGGGGGAUAACUAUUGGAAACGAUAGCUAAUACCGCAUAACAAUGGAUGACCCAUGUCAUUUAUUUGAAAGGGGCAAAUGCUCCACUACAAGAUGGACCUGCGUUGUAUUAGCUAGUAGGUGAGGUAACGGCUCACCUAGGCGACGAUACAUAGCCGACCUGAGAGGGUGAUCGGCCACACUGGGACUGAGACACGGCCCAGACUCCUACGGGAGGCAGCAGUAGGGAAUCUUCGGCAAUGGAGGCAACCCUGACCGAGCAACGCCGCGUGAGUGAAGAAGGUUUUCGGAUCGUAAAGCUCUGUUGUAAGUCAAGAACGAGUGUGAGAGUGGAAAGUUCACACUGUGACGGUAGCUUACCAGAAAGGGACGGCUAACUACGUG
rnacentral:rRNA from 1 species